rnacentral:snRNA from 1 species
AGGCCUUAAACUUAUGAGUAGGGAAAAUAACGAUUCAGGGUGAUGCCCAAAUCUUCACUGCUAAUGUGAGACGAACUAUUGAGCAAGUAAAAGUUCCCCCUAAGGUGAUCCACCUACUCUGCAGAAUGCCUGGGAACCGUGAUCUGCCUG